GUUUCAAAGGACUGCAUGGGAGAAUUCACUUCACAAGAGGCCCCUUUCAGACACUCUCCAGUACAACUUGUCAAUGAGAAAGGAGAGGGUAAAAGUUUCAAGCUGUCAAGAAGAAUUGCAUUCAAUCUACUUCUGGGUCUGCUCCUACUCAAUGAGGCAGGUUUUGCUGGUGAAAUUCUUCUCCAGUCUCAAGGCAGUAACAUUGUGGCUGUGAGUACCUGAGAGAAGCCCUCUGGAAAAGGGCUUCCUCUACAAUAGAAACCAAGGAGCUGUUCACUCCUCCAUGGCAGUCAGAAGUAUGUUAAUGGCACAUAUCUUUCAUCCGUGGAGAGAUUGAAGCCUGGGUGGGGGAUCAUGAUCUUUGCAAAGUGAUAUACAAAACUAAUAGCCAG